AACGUAGGACGCAAGCGUUAUCCGGAGUUACUGGGCGUAAAGCGCGGGCAGGCGGCUCGAUGCGUCUGAUGUGAAAUCUCCUCGCUCAACGGGGAGAGGCCAUUGGAAACGGUCGAGCUUGAGGGCAGUAGAGGCAGGCGGAAUUCCGGGUGGAGUGGUGAAAUGCGUAGAGAUCCGGAGGAACACCAGAGGCGAAGGCGGCCUGCUGGGCUGCACCUGACGCUGAGCCGCGAAAGCCAGGGGAGCGAACGGG
rnacentral:rRNA from 1 species